CUAAGUGGCGCACGGGUGAGUAAUGUAUAGGUAAUGUGCCUCUUACUAAAGGAUAACAAUUGGAAACGAUUGCUAAUACUUUAUACUCCUUUUUAAACAGAAGUGAAAAAGGGAAAGAUUAAUCGGUAAGAGAUUGGCCUGUAUUGUAUCAGUUAGUUGGUGAGGUAAUGGCUUACCAAGACGAUGACACAUAACUGGUUUGAGAGGAUGAUCAGUCACACUGGAACUGAGAGACGGUCCAG
rnacentral:rRNA from 1 species